GCUGUGAUGGCCGAGGGGGUUAAAGCGUUGGACUUGAAAUCCAAUGGGGUUUUCCCGCGCAGGUUCGUAUCCUGCUCACAGCG